CGACCUGGUUCACACCGGUUUAAACUCAGAUCAUGUAAAAUUUUAAAGGUCGAACAGACCUAAUUAUUUAGCUUCUACACCAAUAAUAAAUUUUAAUCCAACAUCGAGGUCGCAAUCCUUUUUUUCGAUAAGAACUCUAAAAAAAAUUACGCUGUUAUCCCUAAGGUAAUUAUCUCUUAUAAUCCAAAUAUAAGGCUCAUCAAAACACAAACUAGUGUAUUUAAAAAGAAAAGUUAAAUUAAUUUUCUCAUCACCCCAACAAAACAUCCUAAAACCACAAAUAUUAAACCAAAAAUCUCCAUAAUUCUAAGAUAUAAAACUCUAUAGGGUCUUCUCGUCUUCAAUAAAAAUUUAAGCUUUUUAACUUAAAAAUAAAAUUCUAAUAAAUUUUUCAAGAGACAGUUAUUUUUUCAUCAAGCCUUUCAUACAAGCUUUCAAUUAAAAAACUAAUGAUUAUGCUACCUUUGCACGGUCAAAUUACCGCAGCCAUUUAAUCACUCAUUGGGCAGGCUAGACUUAAAAUUAUUAUCUUUAAGACAUGUUUUUAAUAAC
rnacentral:rRNA from 1 species